AGCAGCCGCGGUAAUUCCAGCUCCAAUAGCGUAUAUUAAAGUUGUUGCAGUUAAAAAGCUCGUAGUUGAAUUUCGGGGUUAGCAAGUUGGUCGUGCCUUCGGUAUGUACUGGCUUUGCUGAUUCCUCCUUCUUGAAGAACUGUGAUGCUAUUAAUUUGGUGUUGCAGGGAAACAGGACUGUUACUUUGAAAAAAUUAGAGUGUUUAAAGCAGGCUAACGCUUGAAUACAUUAGCAUGGAAUAAUGAAAUAGGACGUUUGAUCCUAUUUUGUUGGUUUCUAGGAUUGACGUAAUGAUUAAUAGGGAUAGUUGGGGGCAUUAGUAUUCAAUUGUCAGAGGUGAAAUUCUUGGAUUUAUUGAAGACUAACUACUGCGAAAGCAUUUGCCAAGGAUGUUUUCAUUAAUCAAGAACGAAAGUUAGGGGAUCGAAGACGAUCAGAUACCGUCGUAG
rnacentral:rRNA from 1 species